rnacentral:lncRNA from 1 species
CACUAAGCAUAUUUCCUUUACAAUAUUCCAAAGAAAAUUUUUUUAAUAUUAUAAUUUAAUCCAAUUCGAUAAAUCAUACUAUUAGAUAUGUCUCGAAUUCUAGUACGAUAAAAUUUUUUAACCCUAUUAUUUAUCAAGUUAAAUUUAGAUUAUGCCUAAUUUUAUUGGGGUAUUCCUAAUCUUUGUGGAUUUGUAUUUCUAAUUAUAUUAGGAUUUAGCCACUAUUAUAAAUAUACCCUUUAUUCUAUUGAUUUAGUAUGGAGGAUGAGAGAGAGUAUGAUUGUAUUUUUAGGAUUAGGGUUUUGUAAGAGAGACAUAUUUUGUACACCACUUUGAUUAUAAUGAAGAUCUCCGCUCCAUCUACGCCCGUAGACGUAGGCCGGUGGUCGAACUACGUAAAUAUUGUGCCCUUUAUUUUUCUUCCCUCUUUUUCGGAUCUCUUUUAGCAUUUUCGCACCGAACGAACUAGAUCUUUUCGGUUUUAGUUCUAAUGUAUGUUCUUACUCUAAGGGUGCGUUUGGUUCGCAUUAUAAAAGAUUACUAGGAAUAAAAGAUAUCCGAGAAUCUUAUUAAUAUUCAUCCUAUUACUAAGAAUGUGGAAUUCCUGUGUUUGGUUCACACAGUAAUAUUAAUUAGCCAUGUUAUUUAAUAUUACAAAAAUUAUACAAUUAAUUUAUUUAUUUAUUUAAUUAAUUUUAGAUAAUGUUACCAAAAGUUUCAACAUCUUUUUAGAAAAAAGGGAGAGAGAGUAUAAGUUAGAGAGAGAGAGCAUAAUUAAAAAAAUAGAAAGAAAAAUAUAGUCGAAAUUAGAGGGAGUGAGAGAGUUGAAAUUUUAGAAAGAGAGAGAGAGAGAGAAAGCUUAUUUUAGAGAGAGAAAAAAAAAAGUUGAAUUUUAGAGAGAAAAAUAAAUUUAGAGAGAGAUAUAAGAUUAGAGUGUAAAGAAAAAUAAUAUCAAUUAGCCGGCGGGUAGGAAGAAAGAAAGAGAUUAGAUAUAUUAUGAUUACCCCAAUCCAUUAAUAUGAGGAUACCCACCCUCCCUCAAGGGAAUGAGAUUAGUACUUUGGGGUGAAUCUUAUUCCCAAGUGAAUCUAAUAUUACUAACUAGAUUACUUAGUGCGUUUAGCCAAACACCGUCAUAUUUUUUUAUUCCUAUUGGAUUACUAGGAAUCUUUAAAAGAUAGCGCGAACCAAACGCACCCUAAAUCAAAUCUUUAUUAUUGCAUUAC